UACGGAGGGUGCGAGCGUUGUUCGGAAUUACUGGGCGUAAAGGGCGCGUAGGCGGCCUGCUAAGAUCGGAUGUGAAAUCCCUCGGCUUAACCGAGGAACUGCCUGUCAGACUGGAAGGCUUGAGACCGGGAGGAGGUGAGUGGAAUUCCCAGUGUAGCGGUGAAAUGCGUAGAUAUCUGGAGGAACACCGGUGGCGAAAGCGGUUCACUGGCCCGACAUGACACUGAGGUGCGAAAGCUAGGGUA
rnacentral:rRNA from 1 species